UACGUAGGUGGCGAGCGUUGUCCGGAUUUACUGGGCGUAAAGAGCGCGCAGGCGGUCGUGCAAGUCGCGUGUGAAAGCCCCCGGCUCAACUGGGGAGGGUCACGCGAUACUGCUCGACUCGAAGGCAGGAGAGGGAAGUGGAAUUCCCGGUGUAGUGGUGAAAUGCGUAGAUAUCGGGAGGAACACCAGUGACGAAGGCGACUUCCUGGCCCGUUCUUGACGCUGAGGCGCGAAAGCUAGGGUAGCAAACGGG
rnacentral:rRNA from 1 species